UUAUAAGAGACAGCAGUCGCCGCGGGAAUACAGAGGGUGCGAGCGUUAAUCGGAUUUACUGGGCGUAAAGCGUGCGUAGGCGGCUUCUUAAGUCGGAUGUGAAAUCCCUGAGCUUAACUUAGGAAUUGCAUUCGAUACUGGGAAGCUAGAGUAUGGGAGAGGAUGGUAGAAUUCCAGGUGUAGCGGUGAAAUGCGUAGAGAUCUGGAGGAAUACCGAUGGCGAAGGCAGCCAUCUGGCCUAAUACUGACGCUGAGGUACGAAAGCAUGGGGAGCAAACAGGAUUAGAUACCCGCGUAGUCCCUGUCUCUUAUAC
rnacentral:rRNA from 1 species